rnacentral:rRNA from 1 species
UGGGGAAUAUUGGACAAUGGGGGCAACCCUGAUCCAGCCAUGCCGCGUGUGUGAAGAAGGCCUUUUGGUUGUAAAGCACUUUAAGCAGGGAGGAGAGGCUAAUGGUUAAUACCCAUUAGAUUAGACGUUACCUGCAGAAUAAGCACCGGCUAACUCUGUGCCAGCAGCCGCGGUAAUACAGAGGGUGCGAGCGUUAAUCGGAAUUACUGGGCGUAAAGCGAGUGUAGGUGGCUCAUUAAGUCACAUGUGAAAUCCCCGGGCUUAACCUGGGAACUGCAUGUGAUACUGGUGGUGCUAGAAUAUGUGAGAGGGAAGUAGAAUUCCAGGUGUAGCGGUGAAAUGCGUAGAGAUCUGGAGGAAUACCGAUGGCGAAGGCAGCUUCCUGGCAUAAUAUUGACACUGAGAUUCGAAAGCGUGGGUAGCAAACAGGAUUAGAUACCCUGGUAGUCCACGCCGUAAACGAUGUCUACUAGCCGUUGGGGGUCCUUGAGACUUUAGUGGCGCAGUUAACGCGAUAAGU